UACGAAGGGGGCUAGCGUUGCUCGGAAUCACUGGGCGUAAAGGGCGCGUAGGCGGCGUUUUAAGUCAGGGGUGAAAUCCUGGAGCUCAACUCCAGAACUGCCUUUGAUACUGAAGAUCUUGAGUUCGGGAGAGGUGAGUGGAACUGCGAGUGUAGAGGUGAAAUUCGUAGAUAUUCGCAAGAACACCAGUGGCGAAGGCGGCUCACUGGCCCGAUACUGACGCUGAGGCACGAAAGCGUGGGGAGCAAACAGGG
rnacentral:rRNA from 1 species